UGUGUGGUGGGUAGUUUGACUGGGGCGGUCUCCUCCCAAAGAGUAACGGAGGAGCACGAAGGUAACCUCAGCACGGUCGGACAUCGUGCAAUGAGUGCAAUGGCAUAAGGUUGCUUAACUGCGAGACUGACACGUCGAGCAGGUACGAAAGUAGGUCAUAGUGAUCCGGUGGUUCUGUAUGGAAGGGCCAUCGCUCAACGGAUAAAAGGUACUCCGGGGAUAACAGGCUGAUACCGCCCAAGAGUUCAUAUCGACGGCGGUGUUUGGCACCUCGAUGUCGGCUCAUCUCAUCCUGGGGCUGUAGCCGGUCCCAAGGGUAUGGCUGUUCGCCAUUUAAAGAGGUACGUGAGCUGGGUUUAAAACGUCGUGAGACAGUUUGGUCCCUAUCUGCCGUGGGCGCUGGAUAUUUGAAGGGGGCUGCUCCUAGUACGAGAGGACCGGAGUGGACGAACCUCUGGUGUACCGGUUGUCACGCCAGUGGCAUCGCCGGGUAGCUAUGUUCGGAAGAGAUAACCGCUGAAAGCAUCUAAGCGGGAAACUCGCCUUAAGAUGAGAUAUCCCCGGGGCUUCGAGCCCCUUGAAGGGUCGUUCAAGACCAGGACGUUGAUAGGUCAGGUGUGGAAGCGCAGUAAUGCGUUAAGCUAACUGAUACUAAUUGCCCGUAAGGCUUGAUCCU
rnacentral:rRNA from 1 species